rnacentral:rRNA from 1 species
UACGGAGGGGGCGAGCGUUAUUCGGAAUUAUUGGGCGUAAAGGGCGCGUAGGCGCCUGGUAAGUCAAAGGUGAAAUCCCCUCGGCUCAACUGAGGAACUGCCUUUGAAACUGCCUGGCUUAGGCCGGGAGGGGGUGGCGGAAUUCCCAGUGUAGCGGUGAAAUGCGUAGAUAUCGGAAGGAACAUCAGUGGCGAAAGCGGCUUCCUGGACCAGUACCGACGUUCAGGCACGAAAGCGUGGG